GACGGGGCCCGCACAAGCGGUGGAGCGUGUGGUUUAAUUCGACGCAACGCGAAGAACCGUUACCUGGGUUUGACAUCCUGUGAAUAUCCUGUAAUUGGGAUAGUGCCUUCGGGAGCACAGAGACAGGUGCUGCAUGGCUGUCGUCAGCUCGUGUCGUGAGAUGUUGGUUAAGUCCAGCAACGAGCGCAACCCUUAUCGUUAGUUGCCAGCAUUUAAAGAUGGGAACUCUAACGAGACUGCCCGGGUCAACCGGGAGGAAGGUGGGAUGACGUCAAGUCCUCAUGGCCCUUAUAUCCAGGGCUACACACGUACUACAAUGGCCGAUACAAAGGGCAGCGACAUUGCGAAAUGAAGCCAAUCCCAUAAAUUCGGUCUCAGUCCGGAUUGGAGUCUGCAACUCGACUCCAUGAAGUUGGAAUCGCUAGUAAUCGUGGAUCAGCAUGCCACGGUCGAAUACGUUCCCGGGCCUU
rnacentral:rRNA from 1 species